rnacentral:lncRNA from 1 species
UCUUAAUUAUAGACUAAGAGAAUAGAUAUUUUGAAGUAAAUGUCAUUUGAAACAUUGCCUCAUCAAUUUGCUGAUGGUUGUGCUGUAAUCUUUUUGCUAGGAGAAAAAUUAAGGGUUCAAGAGCAAAGUGAUCAGGCCUCUGUCAGCAACCAUUCCCCCGAAACAGAAGCUGCAGCCUGGGAAGAAAACCUCUCUCUUUUUGCUGCCUGUCAGUCCUCUGCAUCUUCAAACAGCUCAAGUUCGGACAUCAUAAGAGAUUUAGAAAUAGAUGGGAUGUGUUCAAACUCAUCAGAUAAAAAAAGAAGUGUGAAAACGACCAAACAAAAAUCACAACAUUCUAGGAGCAGCCUACCAAUAUCCAAGAGUAAGCGAAAAAGAAAGUAGCUGACAUUUUAUUUUGUGACAAAAAUUUCCAAAAUGGCUUUACUUCUAAAAUUUUAGAAGCAUAUCUAGGCUCAAGUUCCAUUCCCAGCAUUCUUCACAAUAAAACUACUUUUCCUGUUAAUAGCUGUAUAUUUAAGCGGUAAGAAAGUACUGUAUUACAUUCAGAAUGUAAGGUAUUAGAAUAUAUGCUGUUUUACUAGUCAUAACUGAUAAUCUCUAUGUAUAAUGGACUGCAAUUAUUAACGUCUUCAGGAUAUCAUUCUUCUAGGAUACCAUUUAAUUCAAAAUAUUUAAUUAGAAAAAAAGUCAAUUUAGGUCUUUUCAUUCUUUUCCUUUACCUCCAUUUUUAGCAGUUAUGAAUAUGUUUGACUCAUUAUUCUGGAUAAAUUGUGUAGCCCCUGA